UCUUCACAUUAAGCCCAGUAAUCCCAGACAGGGACUCGUAUUAAUUGAAUGCAUAAUUAGUAAAAAAAUAUAUUGUAUCUGUAUAGCCAGUGAUAUUCACUUUAGUCAAAAUACUUUGUAUGUAAUGUAUAUUAACCCUUUCCCACUCAGAGGCAAAGUGAAAAUGGCAAUGUGCAAACAGCAUCAAACCAGAACAGCUGACUGCGAGUAACUCGCAGUCUGUUCAGAUUUUAUGCUGUUUGCUGCUCAUCAAUAUCUAAGGUUUGGAAAUGAAGCCUUUAAAACUUGAAUCUAGAAAGAAAGAUCUUUAAUUUAAUUUGACUUUGCAAGGGACUAAAAAAACGUCAAAAUACGUAUCUAAGUGGUAAAGGGUUAAUAGCUAGUUAGCAUUCUCCAUGUCAGCAUAGUGAAAGUCCCAUCGUAGCAUGUGCUUGACUAAUCGUGUUGUUGAUCAACCAUCUAAUCGUGAUAGAGCCAUAACCUGACAGCUAAUCAUGUUAACAUGUUGUGAAUCAUUCAUAUGUUAGUUUUUGUAUAUAUUGUUUUGUCCAAGUAACUUUAUUUAAGACAUGUCAUUAAGAGAAAAUAAUAAAACAUUAAUCAACAAA